rnacentral:rRNA from 1 species
AGCGAACGGGGAGGAGCCCAGAGCCUGAAUCAGUGUGUGUGUUAGUGGAAGCGUCUGGAAAGGCGCGCGAUACAGGGUGACAGCCCCGUACACAAAAAUGCACAUACUGUGAGCUCGAUGAGUAGGGCGGGACACGUGGUAUCCUGUCUGAAUAUGGGGGGACCAUCCUCCAAGGCUAAAUACUCCUGACUGACCGAUAGUGAACCAGUACCGUGAGGGAAAGGCGAAAAGAACCCCGGCGAGGGGAGUGAAAAAGAACCUGAAACCGUGUACGUACAAGCAGUGGGAGCCUCUUAAUGGGGUGACUGCGUACCUUUUGUAUAAUGGGUCAGCGACUUAUAUUCUGUAGCAAGGUUAACCGAAUAGGGGAGCCGAAGGGAAACCGAGUCUUAACUGGGCGUUAAGUUGCAGGGUAUAGACCCGAAACCCGGUGAUCUAGCCAUGGGCAGGUUGAAGGUUGGGUAACACUAACUGGAGGACCGAACCGACUAAUGUUGAAAAAUUAGCGGAUGACUUGUGGCUGGGGGUGAAAGGCCAAUCAAACCGGGAGAUAGCUGGUUCUCCCCGAAAGCUAUUUAGGUAGCGCCUCGUGAAUUCAUCUCCGGGGGUAGAGCACUGUUUCGGCAAGGGGGUCAUCCCGACUUACCAACCCGAUGCAAACUGCGAAUACCGGAGAAUGUUAUCACGGGAGACACACGGCGGGUGCUAACGUCCGUCGUGAAGAGGGAAACAACCCAGACCGCCAGCUAAGGUCCCAAAGUCAUGGUUAAGUGGGAAACGAUGUGGGAAGGCCCAGACAGCCAGGAUGUUGGCUUAGAAGCAGCCAUCAUUUAAAGAAAGCGUAAUAGCUCACUGGUCGAGUCGGCCUGCGCGGAAGAUGUAACGGGGCUAAACCAUGCACCGAAGCUGCGGCAGCGACACUAUGUGUUGUUGGGUAGGGGAGCG